GGCUCAGGUUUGAUGACUUUUUUUCCCACUUGCAUGUAGGCUUCUAGGCGCGCCGUCCUCUUAUUGAAGUGGCUUUGGUGCUUCAAAGCUUGAGAGGAGGAUUCGUUGACGUCUGUUGAUCGUGGCUUGGCUCUUCUUCUUUUGUUUGAGACUCCUCUGCUGCUCCCAGGCUUUCUUUUAUUACGAUGUGGCUCUUUUGUUUGAUGGGUGGGCAUGUCGUCACAGAGCAUUAAAUGCACACUUGCUAACAUGUCCUUUCUCUUCUCUUUGGCGUUUUAGAGGCUGGGUGUUUCUGUCCCGGGUUGCAUUGGGAGGAUUGCCAAUUUUGUUUGUGGUGUGACAUUCGGUUGGUGUCUGACGACCUGGUUAGCUUUCCAAAUCUCUUUCUUCUCCUUUUCCUGUUAUGGUUCUGUUAGGAAUUGACUAUAAUUGGGUUUUACUUACUCUCUGGUUUCGUUGCUAUUGGUUUGUGGGUUUUGUGGAUUUCACGUCCCUCCUUAUUUGAGUGGCUUUUGACAUAGCUUCGACGUUUGAUUUCUCCGAGAACCAUUACAAUUGAGAGAAGUCAUUGGUUUGCGGGAGGUUAUAUCAACUUUUUCGUCCCUUUUUCUGGAUUGAUUGACGUUGUACAGAGAUCCACCCCCAUUUGUUUGUUGUCUGUUGAGGCUUGCGAUGCAGGGUUUCUCCUUCCCUCUUCAGGGAGCCACCACCAUUUGUUUGUUGUCUGUUGAGGCUUGAGAAAGGAUGACAGUGUGGUACGUGUAGCACAAAGGAUGACAGUGUGGUACGUGUAGCAGGAAGGAUAAUGCAAACAACACUUUCCUUGCCUAGGUUUCCAUUAAAUUUUAGUUCAGAGUACAUGCAUGCAUAUUGAAAAUUAUAAACUUUUAGUAAUUUAGGGAAUACUAGAAGUAACAAUCUCCUAAAGUUUAUUAUUGGAUGUUUGUGGCUUCACAGGUUGGAGAAAAAAUGAAAAUAAUAACAUUAAAAAGAAUUGUCAGUCAAAGUAAUCAAGGGGCAAUGAAAGAUGAAUUGAAAUGUUUCCCAAAUUGGCCAUGAGAUAUUGGGUCAAAUUACAAAGAUUUUAUUGUUUGGGGACUAAAUCUGGAUCUUCAAGCAAUAUAAAGGACUAAGAAAACCAGUGAAUCUCACACACUUGAAAAAAGCUAGAAUGCACAGGAGAUUAAUCCGUAAUAAUUAGGCUUGGCAUGGUUUUUCUGAAAAUUCAGCAUUAGUAGUGUUUAUAUUUCCUGAGAUCUUAAUAGAAUAAAUUAGGCUUUCAGUAAUACUUCUUGCUCUUCUUUUAGGUAAAGAGAAUAUAAGAUAUCUUUGCAGAGAAAUAUAACAAGAGAGAGGCGCGUCGACCUAUUCAACUAUUGUGCACUAAGAAUGGUGGGAAUGUCGUUAGAAACUACUGCUCCCACCCUUAUUAAAUUAACUACUUAUAAAAGGUCUGAAAACUUACAAUGGAUGCUAUAACAGGAACAUGCUCUCUAUGCAGAUAUUGGAUAUGUUGUGCAUUGUUAGAACAUGGAGACAAUGGAUGGGCUGUGAGAUGACUUCACAUAGCUCUAGAAAGUGAAGAUUAAACAUAGGCUGGCUGGCCUCUUCCCCCUACGCACAUUGCUAUAAAUAGCCUUCUUGACAUACCCACAUGUUCGCAUGCCAGAAAGAAGGGACUUGCAGUGGAAAAGAAAGAAAGAAUAGUGUUAGAUAGACUGGAUGUAUGUCCAAGUGAAACCCCAACAAACUCCCAUUUCUCCAGUGGAGUCUUACCUUUUUCUGCAAUCAUUGAAACCCUUAGGAAUGCAGUGACUUCCACUCGCUCGACAUCUCUGCAUAGAGAAUGUUCUGCAUUCAUUGCCUUUUUUAUUAUUAUUUGGAAGGCAUGUAAUUGGUCGCUUUUUGGUUUUCAGCAAGCCUUUGGAUAACAAAAAAAACUUGUUGCGGCAGGUUGUGCUAUUUUUUUAUGGAAGUCAGCAAGCCUUUGGUUAA